rnacentral:rRNA from 1 species
UCGAGAAUCUUCGGCAAUGGGGGAAACCCUGACCGAGCGACGCCGCGUGCGGGAUGAAGGCCUUCGGGUUGUAAACCGCUGUCAGUGUGGAGGAAAUGUAGUGGGGUUCUCCCCAUUAUUUGACCUAUACGCAUAGGAAGGACGGGCUAAGUUCGUGCCAGCAGCCGCGGUAAGACGAACCGUCCAAACGUUAUUCGGAAUUACUGGGCUUAAAGGGUGCGUAGGCGGUCCGAUAAGUUGGGGGUGAAAGCCCUCGGCUCAACCGAGGAAUAGCGCCCAAAACUGUUGGACUUGAGUAAGGCAGAGGUGAACGGAACUUAGGGUGGAGCGGUGAAAUGCGUUGAUAUCCUAAGGAACACCAGUAGCGAAAGCGGUUCACUGGGCCUUUACUGACGCUGAGGCACGAAAGCCAGGGGAGCGAACG